UACGGAAGGCAGCAGUGGGGAAUAUUGCACAAUGGGCGAAAGCCUGAUGCAGCUAUGCCGCGUGUAUGAAGAAGGCCUUAGGGUUGUAAAGUACUUUCAUCGGGGAGGAAAAACAAAACUAAUAAUUUUAUUUCUUGACGUUACCCGAAAAAGAAGCACCGGCUAACUCCGUGCCAGCAGCCGCGGUAAUACGGAGGGUGCUAGCGUUAAUCAGAAUUACUGGGCGUAAAGAGCACGUAGGUGGCUUUUUUAAGUCAGAUGUGAAAUCCCUGGGCUUAACCUGGAACUGCAUUUUGAAACUGAAAUACUAGAGUAUCGUAGAGGGAGGUAGAAUUCUAGGUGUAGCGGUGAAAUGCGUAGAUAUCUGGAGGAAUACCUGUGGCGAAAGCGGCCUCCUAAACGAAUACUGACACUGAGGGUGCGAAAGCGUGGGGAGCAAACAGGAUUAGAUACC
rnacentral:rRNA from 1 species